GUCGCUAAUACCGCGUAAUGUCUAAGGACUAGAGGGUGGGACUUUCGGGCCACCUGCCAUAAGAUGAGCCCAAGUGGGAUUAGGUAGUUGGUGGGGUAAAGGCCUACCAAGCCGACGAUCUCUAGCUGGUCUGAGAGGAUGACCAGCCACACUGGAACUGAGACACGGUCCAGACUCCUACGGGAGGCAGCAGUGGGGAAUAUUGCACAAUGGGGGGAACCCUGAUGCAGCCAUGCCGCGUGAAUGAAGAAGGCCUUCGGGUUGUAAAGUUCUUUCGGUGAUGAGGAAGGGUGAUGUUUUAAUAGAGCAUUACAUUGACGUUAGUCACAGAAGAAGCACCGGCUAACUCCGUGCCAGCAGCCGCGGUAAUACGGAGGGUGCGAGCGUUAAUCGGAAUGACUGGGCGUAAAGGGCACGCAGGCGGUGACUUAAGUGAGAUGUGAAAGCCCCGAGCUUAACUUGGGAAUUGCAUUUCAUACUGGGUGGCUAGAGUAUUUUAGGGAGGGGUAGAAUUCCACGUGUAGCGGUGAAAUGCGUAGAGAUGUGGAGGAAUACCGAAGGCGAAGGCAGCCCCUUGGGAAAAUACUGACGCUCAUGUGCGAAAGCGUGGGGAGCAAACAGGAUUAGAUACCCUGGUAGUCCACGCUGUAAACGCUGUCGAUUUGGGGAUUGGGCUUUAUGUUUGGUGCCCGUAGCUAACGUGAUAAAUCGACCGCCUGGGGAGUACGGCCGCAAGGUUAAAACUCAAAUGAAUUGACGGGGGCCCGCACAAGCGGUGGAGCAUGUGGUUUAAUUCGAUGC
rnacentral:rRNA from 1 species